AUGGCGAUGGCAGCCGCGGCGACCNNNNNNNNNNNNNNNNNNNNNNNNNNNNNNNNNNNNNNNNNNNNNNNNNNNNNNNNNNNNNNNNNNNNNNNNNNNNGCCGGCUGCGGAUGCCGGCGGCCCGCCCGGCCCGCCGCGGGGCGGUGCGGCUGUGGGGGCCCCGCGGCGCCGCGGCGCGCGCGACGUCCGUGGCGGCGCCCGCGGCCCCCUCGGGCGCCGAGGAGGUCGUGCUGCAGCCGAUCCGCGAGAUCUCCGGCGCCGUGCAGCUGCCAGGGUCCAAGUCGCUCUCCAACCGGAUCCUCCUCCUCUCCGCCCUCUCCGAGGGAACAACGGUGGUGGAUAACCUGUUGAACAGCGAGGAUGUCCACUACAUGCUCGAGGCCCUGGAAGCCCUUGGACUCUCCGUGGAAGCAGAUAAAGUUGCAAAAAGAGCUGUGGUUGUUGGCUGUGGCGGCAGGUUCCCGGUCGAAAAGGACGCCAAAGAGGAAGUAAAGCUCUUCUUGGGUAAUGCUGGAACUGCAAUGCGGCCAUUGACGGCAGCUGUAGUUGCUGCUGGUGGAAAUGCAACUUAUGUGCUUGAUGGAGUACCAAGAAUGAGGGAGCGACCUAUUGGUGACUUGGUUGUCGGUUUGCAACAACUCGGCGCAGAUGCUGAUUGUUUCCUUGGCACUAACUGCCCACCUGUCCGUAUCAAUGGCAAAGGAGGGCUACCUGGUGGCAAGGUUAAGCUCUCUGGUUCCAUUAGCAGUCAAUACCUGAGUUCCUUGCUGAUGGCUGCUCCUUUGGCUCUUGAAGAUGUCGAGAUUGAAAUCAUUGAUAAACUGAUCUCCGUUCCUUACGUUGAAAUGACAUUGAAAUUGAUGGAGCGUUUUGGCGUGACUGCGGCGCAUUCUGAUAGUUGGGACAGAUUCUACAUCAAGGGAGGACAAAAAUACAAGUCCCCUGGAAAUGCCUAUGUUGAAGGUGAUGCCUCAAGUGCGAGCUAUUUCCUGGCUGGUGCUGCCAUCACCGGAGGGACUGUGACUGUCGAAGGUUGCGGCACCACCAGUUUGCAGGGUGAUGUGAAAUUUGCUGAGGUACUUGAGAUGAUGGGAGCGAAGGUUACAUGGACUGACACUAGUGUAACUGUUACUGGCCCACCGCGUCAGCCCUUUGGAAGGAAACACCUAAAAGCUGUUGAUGUCAACAUGAACAAAAUGCCUGAUGUCGCAAUGACUCUUGCCGUUGUUGCCCUCUUUGCUGAUGGUCCAACUGCUAUCAGAGAUGUUGCCUCCUGGAGAGUGAAGGAAACCGAAAGAAUGGUCGCGAUCCGGACCGAGCUGACGAAGCUGGGAGCAACGGUGGAGGAAGGCCCGGACUACUGCAUCAUCACGCCACCGGAGAAGCUGAACGUCACGGCGAUCGACACCUACGACGACCACCGGAUGGCGAUGGCCUUCUCCCUGGCGGCCUGCGCCGAGGUGCCAGUCACCAUCAGGGACCCCGGGUGCACCCGCAAGACCUUCCCCAACUACUUCGAUGUGCUAAGCACCUUUGUGAAGAACUAG
rnacentral:rRNA from 1 species